GCUAGCGGCAGGCCUAACACAUGCAAGUCGAACGGUAACAGAUCUAGCUUGCUAGAUGCUGACGAGUGGCGCACGGGUGCGUAACGCGUAUACAAUCUACCUCUAACUGAGGGAUAGCCCAGAGAAAUUUGGAUUAAUACCUCAUAGUAUUAUAGAAAGGCAUCUUUUUAUAAUUAAAACUCCGGUGGUUAGAGAUGAGUAUGCGUCCUAUUAGCUAGUUGGUAAGGUAAUAGCUUACCAAGGCAACGAUAGGUAGGGGGCCUGAAAGGGUGAUCCCCCACACUGGUACUGAGACACGGACCAGACUCCUACGGGAGGCAGCAGUGAGGAAUAUUGCACAAUGGAGGAAACUCUGAUGCAGCCAUGCCGCGUGCAGGAUGAAUGCCCUAUGGGUUGUAAACUGCUUUUAUACAAGAAGAAACAUCAGUACGUGUACUGACUUGACGGUAUUGUAUGAAUAAGCACCGGCUAACUCCGUGCCAGCAGCCGCGGUAAUACGGAGGGUGCAAGCGUUAUCCGGAUUUAUUAGGUUUAAAGGGUCCGCAGGCGGAAUAUUAAGUCAGUGGUGAAAGCCUACAGCUCAACUGUAGAACUGCCAUUGAAACUGUUAUUCUUGAGUAUGGAUGAAGUGGGCGGAAUAUGUCAUGUAGCGGUGAAAUGCGUAGAUAUGACAUGGAACACCAAUUGC
rnacentral:rRNA from 1 species